GUAUAUAGCCCUAUGCCUUUCUCAAGUUACCAGCUAUGUAAUGGGUACAGCUGCUUGCAUCUUUGAGGAGCAGGUCAAAAUCAAAAGGCUGACUGAGAAACAAUGAAGGGAAAACUUGUGGAAAAUUAUUAGAAUGUGACCCUAGAAUGGCUGGCAGUCACAUCCCCAACUAGAUGAUGAGCCAAGAGCCCCCUUUGAUGAAGGACUUGGCCCAGCUGCUGUGAUUAUUGUUGGCACUCAACUUUGGGCUGUCAGCCUUCAGGAACUGCCUCAGCUACAGAGAGCCUCUUCACCCAAAGUCACCCCUGCCCUGGGCUGCCCACAUUCAAAGACUGGUGGCUGCAGCAGCCAGGCCAUCUCCAUCUAACUCGGGACAACUCUGAGGAGCCAUUCUACCUCCACAGUUUAUGGGUCUGCCUAGGCCAGAGUGUGGCCUGCAUCACAGCUCAGCUUUCUCUCUGCCCAGUCCUGCACCCAGCUUUUCCCUUCCACAGGUGUUAAUCCUGAGGGUCAUUUUUGUGGUUUAGUAGCUAAUUUGUGUCUGACUCUCUAUGACCCCAUGGACUGAAGCCCACCAGGCUCCUCUGCCCAUGGGAUUCUCCAGGCAAGAACACUAGAGUGGGCUGCUAUUUCCUUCUCAAGGGGAUCUUCCUGACCCAGGGGUCAAACCCACAUCUCCUUUGUUGGCAGGUAGCUACUUUACCACUGAACCACCAGGGAAGCCCUAAUCCUGAGGG
ensembl:lncRNA